rnacentral:lncRNA from 1 species
AUAAAUGGUGCCUUGUAUCCGCUUGAUCCAUACGGUUUGAGUGGCCGCUACGCUGGUUUAUGGUCAAAUUAUAGCAACAUAGAUAUCAGCCAGGGCAUGAGUUACCAGGUGUGGAUGCUGAGUUAUAACGCUGAAACGCCAAAAUCGUUUUUCCUGGCACUCAUUGCCAUCCGCAAUCCAAGUGAGUAUUGGGAUCUCACAAGACCGGUCAUCCUGUGGAAGGCCCGACAGACGAGGCUUGUAGGUGAGAAUGCCACUUUACAAUUUACCGCAGAUGGAGAGCUUAAAAUCGAAGAAGACGAUGAUGUCGUAUGGUCCACGAAAACUGCAAACAGAGGCGUCCGGUGGCUCUGUAUUUCCAAUCGCGCAACCAUAAUGCUCCUGGAUGAAAGCGGAAGCAAUGUCAUCUGGCAAAGCAGCGACGAACCUUCUGAUACUGUGCUGUUGCAACGAGCACUUACGCCGGGACAAAAGCUCGUAAGUUGGAAUACUUCAGAAGACAGCAGCGAUGGCCUCUAUAGUCUCGUCAUAGAGAAAAACAGG